UUUAAUUGUUUGUGUCACAGAGAGUAACCGAUGCCGAUCUCAGAGCAUUAGUGUCGGAUGAAGUUUUUCAGCCAGAAGUUGUCUGGAAGCUUCAUGAUUUACAGGUUACCUGUGGAACUCUUGGUCUUUCCACAGCAACUGUUAAAUUAUUCGAUGCUGAUGGGAGAGAACAUGUGGCAUGUGCAGUUGGAACGGGUCCAGUGGAUUCAGCUUACAAGGCUGUUGAUCUCAUUGUAAAGGAACCGGUAACACUCCUUGAGUACUCUAUGAAUGCUGUCACAGAAGGAAUCGAUGCAAUAGCAACUACUCGUGUUUUGAUCCGAGGGGAAAACAGUCAUAUAACUACUCAUGCUCUCACCGGAGAAACAGUUCAACGGACAUUCAGUGGAAUUGGGGCAGGAGUGGAUAUUGUUGUGUCUAGCGUGAAGGCCUACGUUGG